CUCAGAAUCCUAACUCAGGCUACC
rnacentral:piRNA from 2 species